UAAAUAAAAUCAGAGAUGAAAAUGGAGACAUAUCUGAUACUACAGAAAUUCAAAGUACCAUUAGUGGCUACUAUGAGCAACUAUAUGUCAAUAAACUGGAAAAUCUAGAAGAAAUGGAAAAAUCCAUAGACACAACCUACCAAGAUUGAACCAUGAAGAAAUCCAAAAUCUGUACAGACCAAUAACAAAUAAUGAGAGCAAAGCUGUAAUAAAAAGUCUCCCAGGAAAGAACACCUGGGGCCCUACAGUUUCACUGCUGAAUCCUACAUUUAAAGAACUCAUACCAAUCCUCUUCAAACUAUUCCAAAAAAUAGAGGAGGAGGGAAUACCUCCAGCUCAUUCUAUGAGGCCAGUAUUACCCUGAUAUCAAAACCAGAAAAAAAGACACAUUGAAAAAAGAAAACUACAGACCAAUAUCUCUGAUAAAUAUUAAUGCAAAAAUCCUCAAAAAAUACCAUUAUAGUAAGCCAAAUCCAACAGUAUAUUAAAAAGACCAUCAGCUGGGUGCAGUAGUUCACACUUGUAAUCCCAGCACUUUGGAAGGUUCAUGUGGGAGGAUCACUUGAGCUUAAGAGUUUGAGACCAGCCUGGGCAAUAUGAGGAAAUCCCAUCUCUACAAAAAAUACAAAAAUUAGCUGGGCACAGUGGCCCGCUCCUGUAGUCCCAGCUACUCAGGAGACUGAGGUGGCAGGGUCGCUUGAGCCCGGGAGGUUGAGGCUGCAGUGAGCUGUGAUCACACCACUGCACUCCAGCCUGGGUGACAGAGCAAGACCUUGUGUCUCUCUCUCCAUAUAAAUACAUAUAUGUAUAUAAAUAUUAUAUAUUUAAGUAUUUAUUAUAUAUUGUAUAAUAUAAUCAUAAUAUAUAUAUAUAUAUUUCAUCAUGAUCAAGUGGGAUUUAUCCCAGGGAUUAGGGAUGCAAGGAUGGUUCAACAUAUGCAAAUCAAUCAACGUGAUACAUCAUAUCAAUAAAAUGAAGGACAAAAAACAUAUGAUCAUUUUAAUUGGUGCUGAAAAAUUAUUUGAUAAAAUUUAACAUCCCUUCACAACAAAAACCUUCAAAACACUGGGUUAGAAGGAACAUACUUCAACAUAAAAAAGCCACAUAUGGCAGACCCACAGCUCAUAUCAUACUGAAUGGGGAAACACAGUAUGAUUUGGAACACAACAAGGAUGUUCACUUUCACCACUGUUAUUCACCAUAGUACUGGAAGUCCUAGUUAGAACAAUCAAACAAGAUAAAGAAAGAAAGGGCAUCCAAAUUGGAAAGGAAGAAUUCAAAUUAUCCUUAUUUGUAGAUGACAUGAUCUUAUAUUUGAUAAAACCUAAAGGCUCCACAAUAAAACUAUGAGAACUGAUAAACAAAUUCAGUAAAGUUUCAGGAUACAAAAUCCCAUCUACAAUAGCUACAAAUAAAAUACCUAGGAAUUAAACAAAGAAGUGAAAGAUCUCUGUAAUGAAAACUAUAAAACACCGAUGAAGGAAAUGGAAUAAGAUCCCCCAAAAUGGAAAAAUAGUCCAUCUUCAUGGAUUGGAAAAAUCAAUGUUGUUAAGAUGUCCAUACUACUACAGAUUCAAUGCAAUUGCAUCAAAAUGCCAAUGACAUUCUUCACAGAAAUACAAAAAACAAUUCUAAAAUGUAUUUGGAACCACAAAAUACAAAUAGAACAAAACUGGAGGAAUCACAUUACCUUACUUACAAUUAUACUGCAGAGCUAUAGUACCUAAAACAGCAUGGUACUUGCAUAAAAACAGACACAUAGACCAAUGGAACUCUAUAGGGAACCCAGAAACAAUCCACACACCUACAGUGAACUCAUUUUCAAUAAAGGUGCCAAGAAGAUACAUUGAGGAACAGAUAGUUUCUUCAAUAAAUGAUGCUGGAAAAACUGAAUAUCUAUAUGCAAAAAAAAUGAAACUAGACCCCUCUCCCCCACCAUAUACCAAAAUCAAACUAAAAUGGAUCAAAGAGUGAAAUCUAUGACCUCAAUCUAUAUAUCUACUAUAAGAAAGCAUCAAAGAAACUCUCCAGAACAUUGGUCUAGGCAAAAAUUUUUUCAGUAAUACCCCACAAGCACAGGAAACCAAAGCAAAAAUGGAUAAAUGAGAUCACAUCAAGCUAAAAUGCUUCUGCACUGCAAAGGAAACAAUCAACAAAAUUAAGACACAACCCACAGAAUGGGAGAAAAUAUUUUCAAACUACUCAUCCAUCAAGGGGUUAGUAACCAGAAUACAUAAAUAGCUCAAACAACUCUACAGGAAAAAAUUUAAUAACCUGAUUAAAAAUGGGCAAAAUAUUUGAACACUCUUUUCUCAAAAGAAGACAUACAAAUGACAAACAGGCAUUUGAAAAGAUGUUCAACAUCAUUGAUCAUCAGAGAAAUGCAAAUCAAAACUACAAUGAAAUAUCCUCUCACUUCAAUCAAAAUGGCUUAUAUCCAAAGACAGGCAAUAACAAAUGCUAGCAAGAAUGUGAAGCAAAGGAAAUUCUCAUACACUGUUGGUGGGAAUGUAAAUUAGUACAACCACCAUGGAGAACAGUUGGAGGUUCCUCAAUAAGCUAAAAAUAGAGCUACUAUAUGAUCCAGCAAUUCCCCUGCUGGUAUAUACCCAAAAGAAAGUAAAUCAGUAUAUCGAGAAGAUAUAUGCACUCCCAUGUUUAUUGCAGCACUGUUCACAAUAGCCAAAAUUUCGAAACAACCUAAGUGUCCAUUAAUAGAUGAAUGGAUAAAGAAAAUGUGGUACUUGGCUGGGCGCGGUGGCUCACGCCUGUAAUCCCUGCACUUUGGGAGG
rnacentral:lncRNA from 1 species